AAGGCUUUGCCUGGGAGACCGAGGAUCUUGAAGAAGCCGGGACAGGGUUGGGCCCUGCGCUACAGACGGCUUGGCUUUAAAGGAGCCGGUGUAUACAAUUGUCAAAACAUCAAACUGAAGACUUAAGAUGUGUGCAUUCUACAAUAUAAUUAUUUCCAUACAUCAAUUUAAAGUAAAGGACAAUUUUUUAAAUAUUAAAAGAACUAAAGAUUUACCCAUUACCUCUGGAAGAAUAUCAAGGACAAUCUGAAAGGAGUUAAAAAAAAGUCUUUUGGAAUCUUCUAGUUCUGAGAAUUAUUUGCUAAAACUCAAAGGGAAACUUGAGGAAAAAACAGAAACCCAUUCUUGCUUACAUCGCGCUGCACCUACUUCUUAUAAGAGAACACUGUAUGGAAGAUUAAAAUUUUGUUAUCCUUUACUACUAUGGCUAGUUCUGUACACUCACCCAUCUAAAUUCCCAUCUGCUAGUCAGUAUUAUGGUCUAGACAUCUAUGGACACCAAUGUUCCAUGCAUCAAUUUUAAAUGAGCAUCUCUAUUUGAAAAACGUUUACUGCUAAAAGCCCCCUUUAGUCAUUACUUCUCCACCAAAGGUAACCACCACACUAACUUCUAAUA